GCGUAUAAGCGCACUUCACUUUGCACAUCAUGUAUUCGAUAAAAGUCCUGUUCAUAUUUCUAGAACAAAUGUCUAUUGAUUCAAAUCCUUAAUUUCCCUACAAUUGAAAGCGAUGUAUGUUUUAAAGUGCAUGUGCUCAGAGACUUGACAGAGAAUAGAGAUGCAAACAGUUUCACUUUCGAGAAUAAAUCAAAUUGGUUAGCUUUUAUUGUAGCAUGUAGAAGAAAUGCUUGUUGGAUUGUUGCUAUGUCUGCUACAGUUACAAUAGUUGAAGAUAGACUAUCAAGUAUUUGAAUUAAUGUAGAAAAGAGACAUCUAUAUGAUUGAGAGAAGUUGAUAAUCAAGUUGACGUCAAAAGGUUGGUGAUCAAGUGUAAUAUUGAUACAUUCAAACUUACAUCUCAAUUAAGAAGUACAAACGGUCGAAGUCAAUUAUAGAACUCAACUGGAGUUCGUCAACCCCUCCGUAGUCCCACACUUAGACAGUGGUGUCUCCCUUCACUGUUGGUCGUCACGAGCUACUAGACAGCUCGUCUUAAGCACCGGCCAUGGUCCGUCUAGUGCUCCGUUGACUUCAGUUUUCACUUAGGUAGCUAGUGGUUCCACUGUCACUCUCCACGAGCCAUAAGAUGGCUCGUCUAAUGGACCACGGCUCGUCUGGGGCCUCGUGGUGUUAGACUUGAACUCUAUUCUUUCCAAAUCACUCCCACGAGCAUCUUCACGGCUCGUGCAACACUUCACGACUCGUGUAGCCUUUCGUAUAGCUUCUUGCACUUCAUUUCCCAUCUUUCUUCUUGUCCUUUGCAUCUAAGUGUUUCACCUGUACAACAUAAAAGAAACCAUCAUAUCCACAUAAACAAGCUCGACUUCUCACACUAAUCCUUAGUUUUGAGCGUCAAAUGUUCUAUGAGUUCACGACACAUCAACAAAUGAUCAUCAUGAUUCAUGAUUCUUAUGUAAGUGGUCAUGUUUUUGCUGAGUAUUCCGUGCUUGUGAAAAGUAGGAAUUAUGUCGAUCUAGAACAACAAAUUUCCUCUAGCUCCUGUCAUACCUGAGAUUAUACAUGAUGAUCAUCGUGAAACAAAGGGAAUAAUAUCAAAUGUAUCCUCCUCUGCUGCUUGACAGCCUAAGGAGAAGAUGAUCAUGCAAAAAAAUAGCUAGGGGAAAUGUGUUGGCUCUUUAGAGGAGGGUGAAGUGUUCAUGCUCCGAAUUGAGAUCGAACAUAUCUUAGAUUAAUAAUUAGUAUUAAAUUCAUUUUUAAUCUGACAUAUUUUUAUUGAUUUUCUAAAGAAUAUCAGGGCCCGUGGAGUAGAAGUCGAGUUUAUUACUGCACAACUAUGCACAGAGAGUAGAGUUGGAUUUUGCAGGAACUCAGUGCAAGUGUAAGUCCACGGAAUAAGAAAUUCAAUGGUGUUGGUGUUUCUCUGGCUAUUUACCUAUUGACAAUUGCUAAUGUCAUAUCUUAUCAUAUAAUGUUAUGCAACUAUAUUGAUUGUAUAUUUGUGUCAUCUUUUUAGACACUCAGAUAUGAUGGUUGCUACCUUUUUCUUCAGUGGAUCGAGCGUAAGGAUGUAAGUUACCCAUGUUCUCCUUCCAAUUUUAGUACGGAUUAAUGUGGUGUUAAUGUAUGUAUGCUAGAUAGUAGAUGAAAAAAUAUCAAUGAAAUUUUCAAAUUUGUGUGUUAUAUAUAUCUUAUUUGUGCUUAUAUUAUAAUAACCUAAAACAGGAACUAGACAGAAUUAAUAGCCAACAACAGAAGACAUUUAGAGUAUAUUAUAUUUUGUUUUUCUUGCACCACUAAUGGAAGAGAAGUCUUUAGAGGAAAAGAAGUUGCAGUUAGCUGUAUUAUGAGAUUUUUUGUUAUGUUCAUAUUUUUGGCAUAAAAAUUAUUGAGCUCUUUGGUUGUACAUUUGCUUUAUGCUCUCAGAAGACACUUGGUGCUUCCCAUGAAAUGAUAUUUAUAUCCUCUUUUGGUAAAGGAAUUUUUUUCUAGCAAUAGAUAAUGCUUGUAAGAUCCUUGGUAAAAGUUAUAAAUCUUGUGCUUGGUGUAUUGUGAUAUGUACUGAUUGAGACGCUAAUAAAAUAAAAUUAAUUUUUUUUCAAAUAAGAAGUUAUUUAUAGUCGUUGAGGUACCUACCUUUUCACUCAACUUUUAAGACUAUGAUCUAAAGCAACUUCACGUUGAUAUAUAUUGAAAUAAAUAUCGGACAUUCAUAAAUAUUGGGCAUGUACGUUCACGAGUAAUUAUCAAUUUAUAUUUAUAUAUGUGAAUGCCUAGAAAAGAAUAUAUAAUAAGUAGUUAAUAGUUAUUGAAAGUUACCAAAUAAUUAGCAUAGGUAAAUUAAUAGAAAAAAUCACUCUAGCAUUCCACUUUAUUGUCGUAAUUAAAGGUUUGUAACAAUCAAAAUAAUUAGGAAAAAUUACUGAAAUACACGUCUUAUGUUUUCCUUAUUUCUAAUAUUUCCUUCUAUUUCUAAAAACCUCUAAAAUUCCUUAUUUCUCUCCUAAUUCUAAAUUAUUUUAUAAUGUAUCCGAGCUAGUUUUUAAUGUAUUCGAGCUAGUUUUUAAUUGUAUCCGAGCUACAUAUUAUGUAUUCGGUUUAUUUUAUAAUGUAUCUGAGCUACAUAUCAUGUAUCCAGUUUAUUUUAUAAUGUAUCCGAGCUAGUUUUUAAUGUAUCCGAGCUACAUAUUAUGUAUCCGGUUUGUUUUAAUUUUUCAGGGAUUAAUGUAAUUAUAAACUAAAUAGGGAUAGAUUGUAAUUUCAUAUUAAAACUAUGUGAUUCCUAAAAUUUAUACUAAACAAGGAAAUUUCUAAUUCGGUUAACUUUUGACUUCACGAUUGUUAAUGAUCGACAACAUUGGAUUUUUAUUGAUCAUUACUAGUGGUGGCAAAUGGGCGGGUUGAGUCAAAUUUGGGCGGGUUGAAAAUGGAUCAACAUAAAAUGGGUAAUAAUUCAAAUCACCCAUAUUUGAUAUGGGUAAAAAAGGAUUGGGUAACAAAUGGGUUGGGUAAAAUACUAGUUUAGCCAUAUUUUCAUUUGUAAAUAGUACUCUACUUAAGAAUUCAACAUGGAGAAAAUAUUUUAGUCCUUUUUUAGAUGAAAAAUGUUGAAAAUGCUUCUUUUAGUUUUAUUGUAUCAUAAAAGUAAAAAAAAAUCCUAACUUUUCAAUAUAAAAUAAAUUUAUGUAACAACAAGGAGUAAAUAUUUUUAAUUUCAAAGUAAAUGAAUAGUUGCAUUUUAGGACUAAAACAUGCUUAAUGUACUUUAACCAAGAUCAAUACUAAUGCAUGAUUUGCUUAUUUUACACUAUUAUUUAUUAUCCAAUAUAAAAUCGAACAAAUAAAAAUAUAUAAUUAUAAUUAACAAAAGAAAUGUACAUUUAAAAUAUAUUUUUUGGAGGGACAAAGACUCCACCUUUUCAAUUAUAGAGAAAAAUAAUUAGUUCUAUAGAAGCACAUAAAAAGGAAGAGAAGUUACAAUUUCUUUUUAGUGAUAUCAUGAAUUUUGAGUGAAUAAAAGUUAUAAGUUUAACUCAUUCAGUUAAUCCAUACUUUACUCAUAUUUUACCCAUAUUUUUAUGGGUUGAAUAUUGGUAUCAACCCAUAUUUUACCCAUGUAAAAAGUCACUCACCCAACCCAUUAAAAUAUGAGCGGGUUGGGUGGGUUACCAAAAUAUGGGCUCAUUUUGCCGGCGUUAAUCAUUACUGACUAAUAACGAUCAGAUUAGAAUUUUUAACAAUUGCAUUUUCUCUUACUAAAAUGACCUUUUUCCUUGUAGCAUUCAUUGUACGAGAAUAAAUGAGGGUGAGGAGGGGCGUGUUUAUUAUCAAAACCCAAUUCAAAUUCAUGUUAGGGCGAUCAACUAUAGAAGUGUAACGAUCUUUUUUGGUAGUUAUGGGUAGAGCAAUGGUAAAAGAAUUAAGUCAAAAAACUUUUGUAUAGUGUCUGAAAAAUCUAGGCUAGGCCAGUAUUAGAUGGAAUCUGAACAAUGUGAGGUCUAGGGUAAUUCGAGAAUGGAUUGGGUGGUAUGUCUAAACUUGGAUCAGAUUUCCUAGUAGCUAGGACAUUAAGGAAUUCACAUGGCCUUUCAAAAUCGAAUUCAGGUGAGUAAAACUCUCGGUAUCAAAUUUGGCGUUAAGGGACUAAUAUAGAACAUCAAGAUUCAAAGGUGUUUUGCGAAAUGAGGGUUUUAGGGAGGAUUUAUGAGUGUCUAUCUCCAUGCAAGUUGUUAUAGUAGGUAUCGUGCCGAUGUAGGGGAAUAAAUUAAUUUUCUCUAUAGCGGGUGGACAGGUAUGGCGAUGCCGCUUAGCGGGUGGGGCCGCUGUAGCGGGGUUAGUCGGGUUUUUGUGCAUAAAAAGUCUCAAAACCUCUUAUUUUCUACAACUUUGUUCUUGGGAAAAGGAAGGGCGAUAUAUUGCAGCUUUCUUCAUUUUCUCCACCAAGAUAUUCGAUAAAGGUAAGUUAAUUACUUCCCCAACUUGUAUGAUUCUUAAUCCUUAGAAUCUAAGGUGUUACUCUUGGGGAAGGGUUAUAGCCUGAAUUAAUGGUGGAAAAGACCCUUGUUGGGUGGAUGAUCAUGAGAAUUGCUUGGGGUUUAAGAUUUGAUUGUAGUCUGAGUAUGAUUGGGACAUUAUUCAUUAAUUGUUAUGUUAAUUUAUUGUUUUAGACCACGAACAAGUCGUAAUUCAUAACAAGGGGAGAACUCAAGUUCUUUAGAGUUUCCAAGACUUGAUUCGAGGUAGGUGGUGGUUGUAUGUUUUUUCCGUUUACGCUAUAUGUGCUUAUUAACUGUGUUGUUAGUAAUGCAUGCAUGAUAUAUGAUUAGGGAAAUGAGAAAGAUAUGUUGUGAAUUGAAAGAUGUUUUCAGUCACAUGCAAUGAAUGAGUUACAUGUGUGAUUGUGUUUCAUUGUGGUUGUGAUUACGUUGUGUUGAAGAUUAGGAUCGGGUACCACGUCGACACAUACUAUUGUUGGAACGGGUACCACACCGGCACACUAACAUCUGAAACAGGUGUCAAGCCGGUACAAGGGGAACAUGUACCACACUGGUACACUAACUAUGAGAUUGGAUACACCGUUACACUAAUAGUUUGUAUGUGUGGGUUCCAUGAGAGAACUAAGCUAACUUGUUGUGAUGUAAUGGUUUAUGUUUAUUGUGUAUAUCAAUUAAAGGUAAGGAACGAGAGUCCGAGCUAUGUUGUACUUAUGUUUGUGACGGUAUAUUAUUUGAUUACUACGUUGUGGUUGCCUAUGCAUAUUUCAUAUACUAGAGCUAGUUGAUGAUCAUACCAGUACGUUGUGGUUGUGUACUGAUACUAUACUUGAUCUUUCUUUGUUGAGUACAAGGCAUAUGCAUGCGGCUGCUUUGAGAUCUUAGUUGUGAGAUGCACGACAUUUGAUCCAAUGGUGAGAUACCUCUUCUGAGCUGAUAUGGAUUCUUCCCUACCUUGUUGUUCAUCUUUUCGAACAUAAACAUUUUAGACUUUAAAUUUAUGUUUUCUAGUUGGGGUUGCAUUCUCUUAUCCUAGAUUUGUG
rnacentral:lncRNA from 1 species